UACGUGAGUCCCAAGCAUUGCCCGGAAUUACUGGGCGUAAAGCGUUUGUAGGCGGGUAAACAAGUCAGGUAUGAAAGACCGGAGCUCAACUCCGUGUUUGUAUUUGAAACUAUUUAUCUUGAAUCAGGGAGAGGUAAGCGGAAUUCUAAGUGUAGGGGUGCAAUCCGUAGAUACUUAGAAGAACACCAAAAGCGAAGGCAGCUUACUGGAACUGUAUUGACGCUGAGAAACGAAAGCGUGGGGAGCGAAAAGG
rnacentral:rRNA from 1 species